UCUGGGAGAAAGAGGAUCACUCAGCCGUCUUCAUGUAAAUCUCACUUCCUCUACACUGCUCUCUGAUUUCCUGCUUAAAACUGACUCUGUGUGUUUAUCUGGGUGUGGAACAGGAAGCUGGUUUCAUGUCUUUCUUUAGAGCAGGAUUUAUGGUUGAAGGAACUGACACUACAGACUUAUUUAAGUCACAGACAAAUGCCUUGCUUGUCUAUUUUAUCAAUGCCAGGCCAUUAACAAGUAGAUGUAACAAUUGUAACAUCUACAAUGUAACACAAUAUAAUAUUGGCAAUAUAAUAUAAUAAUAUAUAAUAAUAUUGGCAAUAAUACUGAAGGUCACGUAUAUUUAUAUGUGGGUCGCCACAGAGCACAUGUGAUGUGUCUUUACAUUGUCACAAUACACACUAUGCACAUGACACAAUGUACAGAAAUACAAACAUUUCUAGGUAGAAAUGAAAAAGGUGCAUAUGUGGGCAUCUACACAGUAUAUGAACCAGAGGUGUGUGACGUAUGAACGAGGUACGAGUGGUGAUUGACGCUCAUGACCACCAAUCAGUGUCGAGCAGGCACUAUUUAGAGCGGGUUGGUUUUGAGCCUGGGAUGCGUCACGUCCGUAUCUUCCCCUUUUUCAGUUACUCUAGCGAUUUCAGCCUGUCUUUUCAUCACUGUGUGUGUCCCUGUCGGAUGCAGUUCGGAUCUGUCUACUGCCCACCUUUCAGGUAUGAAGAAGUUGCAUUAUAAAUCAUGUCUAGCUUCAAUGAGAGUCGGGUGGCGUGAGUCAUGUGCAGUCCUUGUACUUCGGUUUCACGGCGGGUUAUUUGAGGGCUGCGUAUCCUGAGCGGCGAACUGAUCCUCGUGAACUCCUUUAUUCGCACUUGGUAAGUUUUGUUCGGUUUUGCUAAGGGGAAUUUCAACGUGUAAUUGUGCUUAAUACUUAAAACAGCUUAAUUCUGUUUUUGUACUAUUUGUAAUAGGAUUCUCCUUCUCUUUUCCUCCUGGCCAUUAUCACUGCAGUUUACUUUUUCCUCCACUGCGCGCCGAGUGACUAACAUUGGCAUACAAUCAUUUAAAGGGACUUUUGCUGCUACCAUCUGGUUUCUGGGAUAGUUUUAACAGACCUGAUCUAGUCUACUUUGGGGUGGACGAUCGGAUAUUUCUUUGGGUCGGCCUAAGAACAACGUGGCCGCUCCUUUUGAGUCCUGUCUCCCUCAAACUUUUUAUAAAGUUUUCGGCUGCGUUGAAUCGUGACUUCUAUUUGCUUUUCAUUCAUUCUGUUUCAUAUGUUCUUAUUUUGGUUUUGAAUUCUUUCAGGAGCUGGGGGUUCCAUUGGUGAAAGACAUUUUGGUGGUGGUGCUAUUCCAACGUGUGCUGUGCGAAAUUCUUGAAGUGUACGAGUGCGUGCUCUGAGUUCACGGUGAGGUGUGUGUGUGUGUGUGUGUGUGUGUGUGUGGAAGUGUGCGGUUGGAUAACUAACCCUGGUGAUCGCCUCGGUGGAUAACCCCAGCCCUGUAUUUAAUUGUUAUAUUUUGUUUUGUCUGUUUAGAAGUUGCGUAAAGUGGUUGUUUAUUAUUUCUUUCAUUUGAUCGUCGUUAUUUGUGUAUUUGUCUGUCACUGCACCAUUUUAACAGUGAAGACAUCUUUUCUUUUUGUUGUUUUUGCAAUGUUAGUUUGAGCUGUUAGUAAGGGCUCUUUAGGAUUGAGCAUAUUAAGUGAGUUUUUAUUUUAAUUGCAAGUAUUUAAUAAACGUUGUACUUUAUAUGAUG